ACGGAAGGCAGCAGUGGGGAAUAUUGGGCAAUGGGCGCAAGCCUGACCCAGCAAUGCCGCGUGAAGGAAGAAGGCUUUCGGGUUGUAAACUUCUUUUAAGUGGGACGAUAAUGACGGUACCACUUGAAUAAGCUCCGGCUAACUACGUGCCAGCAGCCGCGGUAAUACGUAGGGAGCGAGCGUUGUCCGGAAUUACUGGGUGUGAAGGGUGCGUAGGCGGGGAUGCAAGUCAGAUGUGAAAUGUAUGGGCUCAACCCAUGAACUGCAUUUGAAACUGCAACUCUUGAGUGAGGUAGAGGUAAGCGGAAUUCCUAGUGUAGCGGUGAAAUGCGUAGAUAUUAGGAGGAACAUCGGUGGCGAAGGCGGCUUACUGGGCCUUUACUGACGCUGAGGCACGAAAGCGUGGGGAGCAAACAGGAUUAAAUACCCUGGUA
rnacentral:rRNA from 1 species